UAUUGUAUAAAAACAGACAAUGUCAAGAAAUAAAACGGGAUCGAGAAUGUGUAAUCACUAUGUUGGGACAAGCUGAGUCACAACAACAGAUGUAGUGCAGUGUGUGUGUGUCCCUUUAAGGGGCGUGGCCUGUUGAGUAAUGUUAAGAACGUGGCAUGUGCUCAAACUUUGUUUUUGUUUUUUUGUGCUCUUUUUUUUUUUUCUCCACUCAAGUUAUGGUGUCUCUCAACCUCGCUCGCAACAAUUUCGGCCACUUGUACCGUCGAUUGAAAACUGACUGAAUAUUUUGUCCCUCAGGAGAUUCUCACGUAUCUGUAGAAUGAGUCACGACGCUUGACUUGUACUCCCGACAGUUUGAAAACAGAUACGCGCACUUUUGACUCCUUCUCUUUCAAAAUCUCCCAGGCUAUUUGACGACUUGUAAAUAGACGAAGGGAGGCUGGCGGCUCUGACGACAAAGGCUCUCGAUUCCGCGACUCUCCGCGCGCCUGUCCAGAAAUAUGCUGCCAUUCUGGUUCUCUGCGCCACCGGGGGUGCCCCCGGCGCAAAGGCCCCGCAGGGCUCAUCAUCAUCCGUGCGACUCCCAACAACUGUCAGAAUGGCGGCCUCCGGCCACCUGCGGCGACUUCUCGUGUAAGCGGACACCCCGCCUGACAGUUGACACCUCAACUCGCGCUCAACCUUUUUACAUUAUUCCUCUUAAAAAAAAAAA